UACGUAGGGUGCGAGCGUUAAUCGGAAUUACUGGGCGUAAAGCGUGCGCAGGCGGCUUCGCAAGUCAGGCGUGAAAUCCCCGGGCUCAACCCGGGAACUGCGUCCGAUACUGGGAGGCUUGAAUCCGGGAGAGGGAUGUGGAAUUCCAGGUGUAGCGGUGAAAUGCGUAGAUAUCUGGAGGAACACCGGUGGCGAAGGCGGCAUCCUGGACCGGUAUUGACGCUGAGGCGCGAAAGCUAGGGGAGCAAACGGG
rnacentral:rRNA from 1 species